rnacentral:misc_RNA from 1 species
AACGCACGAGACCUGCGGACCUGCGGAAGGAUCAUUAACGAAUAGUAUGGACUUUGCUGUCGCUGGCUCUCUCUAUUGGGAGCAUGUGCACGCACGGUUCAAACCUUUCAUUCUUUAACCCCCUGUGCACUUUUGUGGAUCGCGGAUUGGAUAAUCUUAUUCAAAGUAACAUUUGGUCUUGGAAAAUGCGCAUAUAUGCGCUCUUUCCUACUUCUGUCCGCGGUUCAUGUCUUUUUAUUA